rnacentral:lncRNA from 1 species
UGGGAAAUCAGUUUCUGGGUUGUUAGGGUUGGGAGGAGGGGAAACAAAGGGUGGAACUUGAAAGGAAUGGAAAUGGAUGGUAGAAGAGGAUUUGUGGUGUCUCAGAGUGGCUUGGCGAAUGUGAGUGACAGUGGAAACAUAAUGAACUGGUAUGUUGUGUGAUGAGAUAAGGUGUGAGAGAUGCAUAAGCUGAUUCAGAUGUCCCUGUGCAGGGAAAGGUAUGAGAACCACCACCACUUGGUUUUGGUGAGGAAGAUUGUCUCCAUUGAAAGCCAUUGAGAAAAUGCUUAUAUCUGGUGUGAGAAUGGUGAGAUCCAGCAUUGUAAAUGGCCUUGGAUAAAGUAUUUAGAGAAACUUGCAAAAAGAGAUGUUUUGGUUACUAAAAAAUUAAUCACGUCCAACUCGAGGGGGCCAGUUAAUUAUUUAAAUAAAUUAAUGGAUUUGUUGUUUUAUCAUUUUUUAUUAGAUAAUUGUUUAAACCAAUUCAUAGUGAACCCUACAAUUAUGUAUCGAAAACAAAAUUUGAUAUUUUUCGUUUUGCUCUGAAAUAUGAUUCUACCGAAAUUAAUAUGAUUUUAGCGUAUAUUUGUCUUACACUAGAGAGAGAUGAUAGUAUAAUUGUGGUGAUAUUAAGUUUUUUUCCAACGAGUAAAAUGAGUAGAUCAGUAAUAAUAAAAAGGGGUUAAGAUAGUUAUGCAAGCAAUAUAAAAGAUAUUUGAAACAACAAAUAAAAAGCGGUUGAUUCAAAGUUCUUCCACCAUUGAAUUUUUCACAGGUUCUCUAAAGAUUAAUCUUUUUUUAAUUCUCCAACAGAGCUAAACCAGAUUGAACAUGCGCCGAUCUGAUUUACCUGAAACUCACCAGUAAAGCAUGUGUCUACUGGUUUAAUCAAUACCCACUUUGUUCCAUGCGUAUACUCCAUGAGAAUAUUUACCUCCUCUCUCUUGUAUCAUGCGUCCAAGAAAUUAAUCAGAACAAUACGAACUAACUAAGAAACCAAAGUUUAAGAUAUGGAAGACUUCUAAUGCGUUUAAGUACAAGCUCUCACAAAAACCCAAUUUUUUAGGAUAUUAGACUAUUAAAACAACUGCUAUAGAGAAUUAAAAAUCAAAACUUUUAUUGAACAAAACCUCAUAACUCAAUGGAGAAUUACAAAAGAAUCAACAAAAAAGAUUUAGCCUUCCAUACGGAGGCAAAACAAAAAAAUUACAAAGAAGAAAAAGAAACUAAGAAAUCCCUAUGAAACUCUCCCAUUUCUCUUUGAUGUUUGUGUCUUUUUAUAGGGUUUUUUGCUUUAAAGAUCUUGAAAAAAAUAUUGUAGUUUAUAUUUUAUUUUUAUUUUUAAUGUUUAUAUUUGUUAAAAGGAAAAUCAAAUGAGUUUUGGAGAAUUAGAAAAGAAGAAGUUGAACAUAAUUAACACACACAAAAAUCUCAUAUUAAAUUUGUAUAACCUUUUUUUACCUUCUCCGUCUAUCCCUUCAACCGGCCGGCUCUGUUUUUUAGUUCCAUUUUAUGAUUGUUACAAGUAAGUGUUACGUGAUUAACGAUGGAAGCUAUAGCAUUUUGGUGUUUAUUUGGUUAAUAUAAGACAAACUAUACUUUGACAUCUACCAAAAAAAAAAAAUACCCACUUAACAAUUAUUUUAAUAACAUAACAAUAUAUAUUAAUAUUUUAAAUUAAAAAAUAAAUAAGAAAAUAAAUUUAAUUAAAAUAUUAAUAUUAAUACUUUAAGUUGUAUAAUAAGUAUUAUUUAUUUUAUAGGUGUCAAAUAUCAUACCUCAUAAUUUAACUAUGUUUUCCACUUCAUCUUAAUUCAUGCGGCACUUAUGUCAAAAGUUGUAGUUAUAUAAAUUCAUUAAAAUUUAAAUUGUAAAUUUUGAUAUUAAAACUUCUUUUCAGAAUCUCUUUAAAAAUCAUAAGAUUUUUUCAUGUGAAAAUAAUUUUUUUUAAAUACAAAACCAGCAUAUUCUUUUAAAAUUAUUGGGUGGCGCAGUUGUCUUAAAAAAUAUGAAAUUGUUUGAAAAAUGAUGAGAAUUAAAACAAAACUUAUUGAAUAAUAUAAAAAAAAAUAUGUAAAUAAUUGUGAAAUUCAGUUAAGAUAAUUAACUUUUUCUUAAGAGAACUAAAUUUGGGGAUAUUCCAUUAAUAUUUCCUACAAACUAUAAAGAGAUGGUUGGUAUUUAAGAGUAUAAAAUUUGUAUGAAUUAUUUUUCAAAAAUGUUUUUUUUUUUCAAUAGAAUCGGGUUCUAAUAUAUAGAAUAACAUAUAAAAAAAUAAAAUUUAAGACAAAUAGGUAAAUUCAAAUAUUAAAGUUUUGCUGCAUUCUUGUAACUAUCCAACUACUUGGAUUAACUUGCAUCCAAAACUUAGUUUUGCUGCAUUCUUCGUAACUAUCCAACUAUUUGUAUUAGACCAAGAUAAUUUAAUCUUAAACGAUUUCAUCAAGAGAGUUUUAUUAAAUAGUCUUAUGGUUGAUAAUUUAUCUUUUACCAUUUUCAUAAUCACUAUAAAAAAAUUUAUUUAAUAAUCAAUGUUAGUUAACGAAAUAAGUUAGGUCAUUAAUUGUGAUUAAAAUAACGAUUUAUUGAUAUUUGUUACAAAUUUAUUACUAUCACAAUAAUUUAUUAGUAAUAUUAAUUUGUGUAGCGGAUCGAAAUAAUAUUUGUUAAAUUUUAGUCAUUAAAUUGAUGGUUAUAUAAAGUAAAAUAAAAGUUAUGUUGCCACCGAUAAAAAAAUUAUUUAUUUUAUCAAUUAAUUUAAUUUUGAUUACUAAAUCACUCUUUAAUGAAUAAUUUGAUUUUAUCGUUAGAACAUUUUAUUGUGACAUAAUUAUGCUAGAACAUUUUUGUCCUUGUUUUAAUCUAAACCUUAAUGGACAUAAGUCGAGCUUAUCGAUAAACCUAUGAGAUAAUCCAUUUUAUAAAAUAAAAAUAUUAAAAAAACAUAUUUUAUUAAAAAUAUACAUGAAUUAGAAUUUAUACACCAAAUCUAAAAUUAAUAUUAGUUUUAUCGAUAUAACUUAAAUUUUAAAAAAUACAUAUUUUAUUUUUAAUAAUUUUUUAUUUAUUUUAAAGGAAACAAAUAAUCUUCUAAUCUGGAUUAAAUCAAACUUAAAAAUCACAACCCUUUAAAAUAUUAAUCAAAUUAAUUAGAUCACCACAAUUUUAUUAUAUGAUGCAAGAAUUCCAAUUAAAUAAAAAUGUGCCACACAUUUUACCACUUUUACUUCUCUGCUUCUAAUGCCACUCUUACCAAAACUUUACUCUACACUUCCUAUGUCUAGAAACUUAAUAUUUUAGUCUUUGUUUGUACAAGCAAUUAUUUUAAUGUUUUAAUUUUAAUCCUGUACUCAAUACUAGGUUUUCUAACACUACUACAAAAUAAAUAAAUAAAUUAUAAUAUAAAACUGUAACGUCGUGCAUAUCUAUAGUAGAAUUUCAAGAUAUUUAAUUUAUUUGACAUAAAAAGUGUUUUUAGAAUUUUCAACAAAAAAAGUUAUUCUUGAUACUCAAUUUCAAUUUAAGUAUAAAAUUGUACAUAUUAGAGAAGUAUGUGACUCGGUAUCAGUCAUCAAACGAUUAGUUGAAAACAUAUUUAAAACAGUUAGAAUAAAUAAUCGUUAACACAGUUGUAAGAACAUUUUAAGAAUUCGGAAUACGUCCUACCAAAUAUGGGUAACAUCCCCAAAAAUCAGAUAAUUUCUCUAAAAAUAAGCUAACGUAUAUGAUGAAUUUGGCUCAUUACAAGAGAUGACUCAUGAAAAAAAAAUUAUAAAUAAAUCAUCUACAACAGAGUAAGAUAUGUUUUUAAUCAAUUCUUAAUAUAUACUUCGUAUAUUGAGUACUUACUUGAUCGUCGAAGUACCUUUUACAGACUAAUCCGAUCGAGCACCAACAAAUUCAAGAAAGAGACUUAAAGUGAAGAAGAAGGAAAUCACUGAACACGUCAAUAAUGAUACAACUAGUUUCAAGUACUAUGUAGACAUACUUUGUUUAUACAAGUACAAAAAUAACAUUAUUUUAUUAAAAACACAAUUUUUAUCUGGUUAGAGGAGGAUCUUGCCUCUUACUAAAAUAUGGAAAAUAGAAAAGAAAAAAAAAUUAUGUAAAAUAUAUGAACUAAAUGAUUAAUUAAACUUUUUUUAUAAAGAAAGUAAUUCAAACAGAGAGUGAGUCCAAACAAAGAACAAGUUGCAAAGUGGGAGAGAGGACAUAUCCUUCUUGUCUCUAUUGGGGACAUGCACCAUUUUUAUUUUACUUUUUUCUCCAUUAGUGACAAUUUUUAUUUUAUUUUGUCUCAAUCAGUCAAACUUUUUUUACUUUAAAUAUCCUCCAACACUUAUAAAGUAGAUUUUUUACAAUCAGCUCUCAAAAUAGAAAAAAGUUUGGCCGCCACCAUUAUUCAAAAUUAAACAUCUGUUCUGCUUUUUAUAAAUAAAAUAUUAAAAUAUUAUAUUAUAAUAAAAUAAUAAUUUAUUUAGGUUUAAAAUAAUAUAGAACACUGUUGAGUGUGACCUUAUUUAAAAAGAAAAAAAACUAUUUUCUACACUCUAUAUUUUCACUUACAUAUAUUUAACAACUAUAUAUAAUAAUAAAAUAUUAAAUUAAGUUAUUUAUAACAUCAUUGUGGUCAUGUUAGAGGUUGUUAAACAGGACCUAAGGCUUGGCUAUGUAAAUAUAUGGAAAAUAUUUUUUUUUAUCCUACACAUUAAAAAUAUAUACUUAACAUCACAUUAUAAUAAUAUUUAAAAUUAAAAAAUAAAUAUGCAUUAUCUUCACGAACUGUUAUCAAAUUACUACAUAAUUGAUAUUAAAUAUGCAAGCCAAAUUGGUUUUGGAUUAUCUUCACGAACUGUUAUAAAAUUCUGAUAUAUUAAACGAGGAAUCACACUAAUACAAGGUGAUGAGAUUAUUUAGUGAUAUGAGCAAUGAAAGAAUCCAUUUCCAUGUGAGAAACUCCACCUUCUUCUGUGGAUUUAUGGAUGACCCUUUUAAGCCUCUCUGCUCUCUCUCUCAUCUCAUCACCUUCCUCUGUUUGCAUCAACCUUCUCACACCAUCCUCAACAACUGAACCACUCACCAACGAGUUCCUCUGUGACCAAUCCUUCACAACCAAACCAACCUUCAGAACCUCUGUGAUCAGAGUUGCGUUUCUUGGUUGGUCAGAGUGAAAGGGCCAUGUUGCUAUUGGCACCCCCAUGGUUAUGCUCUCCAAGCACGAGUUCCAUCCACAAUGGCUCAGAAACCCCCCUGUUGAACUGUGGCUCAGAAUUUCCAAUUGGGGUGCCCAAUCCCUCACAACUAGCCCCAUCUCUUUCACUCUCUCCUCGAACCCAUUUGGAAGUUCAUACCUUUUUGCUUCACCUCCGUCAAAGAUAUCACCUUUAUCAGCAUCUCUCAGCACCCAGAUGAACUUCUGCUUGCUCUGUUCCAACCCAGUUGCUAUCUCUUGGAUCUGUUCAUCUCUCAAAGCUGUUGUGGUCCCGAAGGAUAUAUAUAUCACUGAAUUUGGCUCUUGUUUAUCAAGCCACUCCACGCAUGAGUGCCUUUCUUUGGAACCUUUCUUCUCAACGGCUAAAGGGUUGAACGGUCCCAGUGCCCAAAUCUUCUUGCCACCAGUGAUAGCCUUCAUCAACUCAAUGUAAUCGCCUUCAAUUACCCUGCUUGUGUUGUAGACGAUUCCAUCGCUGAGUUUGAGUAACUCACUCUGUGCACGAAAAUCCAAGAAUUGGGUUGGGAAGCAUCCUUCGAGAGAAGGAAUUUUCAGGGCGUGCAUGGCUUCAACCGAAGGCCUUCCCAUUCUGUCCCAAUAGGCAAGGUAGACGGAAAAGGCGCAUGUGCAGUGAAAAGUGUAAUUCUCAACAUUAGCCAUGUUUGUGGCAUCUUGUGCCACUGAAGCCAUGGGAGAGUCAUGGAUGACUAUAACCCUUUUGGCUUCAGAGGAGAGGGAUUGAAGCAGUUCCCUCACAGGAUCUCGAAGAUGCAUAGAGGCCUUAAGGGAAGGAAUAAGAUGACAUGGGAAAUCAGUUUCUGGGUUGUUAGGGUUGGGAGGAGGGGAAACAAAGGGUGGAACUUCAAAGCCAUGGAAAUGAAUGUUAGAAUGAAUGGAUUUGUGGUGUCUGAGUGUGGCUUGGCGAAUGUGAGUGACAGUGGAAACAUAAUGAACUGGUAUGUUGUGUGGUGAGAUAAGGUGUGAGAGAUGCAGAAGCUGAUUCAGAUGACCCUGUGCAGGGAAAGGUAUCAGAACCACCACCACUUGGUUUUGGUGAGGAAGAUUGUCUCCAUUGAAAGCCAUGAACAUGAACUUCUCAGCUAUUCAACUUUGGCAACGGAUUUCUGAGCAGAGGAUGGGUUGAAUGAUGUUUAGGUCUACAAGUAAAAUAUUUAUAGAAAGAAUAAAUUUUACACUUUAAUAAUAAACAUAAUGAUUUCAUAAUUUUGUUCAAACGUGUCAAGUUUUCAUUCUUAUAUUAAGAAAAUUGUGUAGAUUGGAACUAGUUUUUUAGUUAUAAACCUCAGUUGGAAGUAAUAUAUUUUAGUUAUUUAUCUUGUAUUCUUCUUCUAAAUUUGGUUUAAUUUACAGUUUAGAUUUUAACAUAAUACUGUUAUUUGGAUAGGAUUGAUCAUCUGUAAAAUAAAAUAUGAUAAUUUUAGUAUUUUUUUAUAAUAUUUAAAAAUUGUAAAUGUAGAUUCGUGUUUGAUUUGCUUUGUAGAAUUCUAUGAAUCAAUCAUGUUAGGUAGGAACAAGGUUAGGUGGAUAGUCAAAAUCGAAUCACUAGAUCAUAACUUAACUUAUGUAAUAUAUAUAUUUUUGGACACUUAAUAUUUCAUUUAUUUUAGAUGUAUGAGGUCCAAUUUAAUGUAAAAUUAAAAUUAUUGAUCUCCCAACUUAUUUUAAACUCUUAUAUAAAAUGUAAAAAUCUAGAUGACCAAAGAGUAGAUAUAUCCAUAUCAAAAUAAAUUUUACACUUUAAUAAUAAACAUAAUGAUUUCAUAAUUUUGUUUAAACGUGUCAAGUUAUCAUUCUUAUAUAAGAAAAUAAGAAAAUUGUGUAGAUUGGAACUAGUUUUUUUAGUUAUAAACCUCACUUGGAAGUGUUGGGUAUGAAUCUAAAACCAAUUGGAUUGGGCUGACUAGACAUCAUGUUUAGUGGGUGAGCUUACUCAUCGUGUCCCUUUUAUAAUUUAUACUUAAAGAUAUCAUUGUACUCGUAAUUGGUGUGCAAUAGGACAUAAUGAAAACCUAAUAGUUGUCUGUGUGUGUGGAUGUAGGUUGCAGUUGGCGACCGAACCACGUUAAAUCUUGUGUUUAUUGUUCUGCAGUUGAUUCGUGAUUGUGUGUAUUGCUUCCGCGUGCGUUUUUCUCAUCAGGAAGUACUAUAUUUUAAUUCAUUUAUCUUAUAUUUUUAAAAUUCAGUUCAAUUUUUUUAUUUUUUAAAAAUUCAACCUGUUUUCUUCUUAUAAAUUUGGUUUAAUUUACAAUUUAUAUUUUAACAUAAUAGUGUUAUUUGGAUAGGUUUGAUCAUCCGUAAAAUAAAAAUAUAAUAGCUUUUAGUAUUUUUUUAUAAUAUUUAAAAAUUAUAAAUGUAGAUUCGUGUUUGAUUUGCUUCUAUGAGUCUUAAAAUCAUAUUAGGUAGGAAUAGGUUUAGGCGAUCUUAUUCCAAAUUCUUGUAUGAGACGGAAAGAAUUUGCAAGAGAUUAGAUACAUUACCAAAAUGAAUGACACUUAUAUCGAAUAAAUCAGAAAAAGUAUUGUUAGAAUAAAAAUGAAUGUAAGAACAAUUGGUGCAUUAAUAUAUCAUAAUUUUUUGUAAAUAAUUUUUUAUUAUGAAAAUAUAUAUUUCACUUUCUUAUAUUCUUAUUUAUAUCAAUAAUAUUAUAAUCUACAAAUAACUACAAUCAAUAAUAUACAUUCAAAAUUUGCCACUUUCUUUCAAAUAAUACAAAAAUUAACUUUUUAAAAUUUAUAAAUAUAUGUUUAAAAAUAAUUAAAGUCUUCCAUGUAAUAAUUUUCUUUUUCAGAAUCAAUGUACGGUAUCACAACUCCAUAGUGUGACAUUAUUCAACAUUAAAGUUAUAUACAAGAAUUUUAAACUAAAAUCAUUUUGAUCCCAACUUAAUUAAAUAUUUUAAAAUUUUCUUCUCAAAUCAACAAUAAAAGUUUAAAAUUUGACAUUUCCGUAAUUUAGGUAAGACUAUUUGACAUAAAUUCAUCCCAUAUAAUAAAAAAGACAAGGAUACAUUAAUAAUAAUUCAAUUUUUUUAUAAAAUCACAUCACCAACUCUCAAUCCAUUACAAUUCUCAAUAUUAUAUUAUUUAAUUUUAAAUUUAUCUUUUAUUAUAUAUAUUUAUUUUAAAACCUAUCAUAACUAAGUAUAAAAGUAUCCUUUUCUUCCAAACAUAAAAAGUGUGUAUCUUCAACCCUAUUCAAUCGCAUCUGUUCUGUUGAACCAGGAACUACAACACAGUAGCAUCAAUUGAUGAGAGACUCUGUAGUAAUAUGGGCAAUGAACGAAUCCAUUUCCUUUGGAGAAAUUCCACCUUCAUCCAUGGAUCUAUGGAUGCCAUUUUUAAGCCUCAUUGAUCUCUUUCUCAUCUCAUCACCUUCCUUUGAUUCCAUCAACCUUCUCACACCAUUCUCAAUAACUGAAGCACUCACCAACGAAUUCCUCUGUUCCCAAUCCUUCACAACCAAACCAACCUUCAGAAUCUCUGUCACCAAAACUGCAUUUCUUGGCUGGUCAGAGUGCAUGGGCCAUGUAGCCAUUGGCACCCCCAUGGUUAUGCUCUCCAAGCACGAGUUCCAUCCACAAUGGCUCAUAAACCCCCCUGUUGCACUGUGGCUCAGAAUUUCCAACUGGGGUGCCCAAUCCCUCACAACCAGCCCCAUGCCAUCCACUCUCUUUUCAAAACCCUUUGGAAGCUCAUACCUUUUUGUUUCACUUCCGUCAAAGAUAUCACCUUUGUCAGCAUCUCUCAGCACCCAGAUGAACUUCUGCUUGCUCUGUUCCAACCCAGUUGCUAUCUCUUGGAUUUGUUCAUCUCUCAAAGCUGUGGUGGUCCCGAAGGAUAUAUAUAUCACUGAACUUGCCUCUUGUUUAUCAAGCCACUCCAUGCAUGAGUGCCUAAACCCUACUGAAUCUUUCUUCUCAAAGGCUAAAGGGUUGAAUGGCCCCAGUGCCCAAACCUUCUUGGUGCCUUUCAUAUUCUCCAGCAACUCAAGAUAAGGACCUUCAAAGGCCCUGCUGGUGUUGUAGAUGUGUCCAUCGUUGAAUUUGUUGAAUUCAAAAUUUUCAGAAAUGUACUCAAUGAAUUCGGCUGGCAAAGAUUCUUCAAGAGAAGGAAAUUCCGGAACACGGAAGCCUUGAAGUGAAGGCUUCCCCAUUUGCUCCCAAAAAUAAACGAAGGUGAAAAAGGCAGAUGUGCUUUGGAAAGUGUACCUCUCAACAUUAGGCAUGUUUGCGGCAUCUUGUACCACUGGUCCCAUGAGGGAGUCAUGGAUGACUACGACCCUUUUGGCUUGUGAUGAGAGGGAUUGAAGGAGUUUCCCCACAGGCUCCCGAAGAUGUGAAGAGGCCUCAAAGGAAGGAAUGAGAUGAGAUGGGAAAUCAGUUUCUGCAUUGUGAGGGUUGGGAGGAGGGGAAACAAAGGGUGGAACUUGAAAGGCAUGGAAAUGGAUGGUGGAAGUGGAUUUGUGGUGUCUGAGUGUGGCUUGGCGAAUGUGAGUGACAGUGGAAACAUAAUGAACUGGUAUGUUGUGUGGUGAGAUAAGGUGUGAGAGAUGCAUAAGCUGAUUCAGAUGACCUUGUGCAGGGAAAGGUACGAGAACCACAACCACUUGGGUUUG